rnacentral:tRNA from 2 species
GGCGGGGUAGAGCAGUUUGGUAGCUCGCAAGGCUCAUAACCUUGAGGUCACGGGUUCAAAUCCUGUCUCCGCAA